UACAGAGGUCCCAAGCGUUGUUCGGAUUCACUGGGCGUAAAGGGUGCGUAGGUGGUGAGGUAAGUCGGAUGUGAAAGCUCGGAGCUCAACUCCGAAAUGGCAUUGGAAACUACCUUGCUCGAGGGUUGGAGGGGGGACUGGAAUUCUCGGUGUAGCAGUGAAAUGCGUAGAUAUCGAGAGGAACACCAGUGGCGAAGGCGAGUCCCUGGACAACUCCUGACACUGAGGCACGAAAGCUAGGGGAGCAAACAGU
rnacentral:rRNA from 1 species